rnacentral:rRNA from 1 species
UACACUCCUGCGGGAGGCAGCAGUGGGGAAUUUUGGACAAUGGGCGAAAGCCCGAUCCAGCAAUGCCGCGUGAGUGAAGAAGGCCUUCGGGUUGUAAAGCUCUUUUGUCAGGGAAGAAACGGUGAGAGCUAAUAUCUCUUGCUAAUGACGGUACCUGAAGAAUAAGCACCGGCUAACUACGUGCCAGCAGCCGCGGUAAUACGUAGGGUGCAAGCGUUAAUCGGAAUUACUGGGCGUAAAGCGUGCGCAGGCGGUUUUGUAAGUCUGAUGUGAAAUCCCCGGGCUCAACCUGGGAAUUGCAUUGGAGACUGCAAGGCUAGAAUCUGGCAGAGGGGGGUAGAAUUCCACGUGUAGCAGUGAAAUGCGUAGAUAUGUGGAGGAACACCGAUGGCGAAGGCAGCCCCCUGGGUCAAGAUUGACGCUCAUGCACGAAAGCGUGGGGAGCAAACAGGAUUAGAAACCCCAGUAGUCCCA